rnacentral:tRNA from 1 species
GGGGAUGUAGCUCAGUUGGUAGAGUGCUUGCCUCAUAUGCACAAAGCCCUGGGUUUAAUCCCUAGCACCA